rnacentral:rRNA from 1 species
CGGAGGCAGCGCGGGGGCAACCCUGGCGGCGAGUGGCGAACGGGUGAGUAAUACAUCGGAACGUGUCCUGGAGUGGGGGAUAGCCCGGCGAAAGCCGGAUUAAUACCGCAUACGCUCUAUGGAGGAAAGCGGGGGAUCUUCGGACCUCGCGCUCAAGGGGCGGCCGAUGGCAGAUUAGCUAGUUGGUGGGGUAAAGGCCUACCAAGGCGACGAUCUGUAGCUGGUCUGAGAGGACGACCAGCCACACUGGGACUGAGACACGGCCCAGACUCCUACGGGAGGCAGCAGUGGGGAAUUUUGGACAAUGGGGGCAACCCUGAUCCAGCAAUGCCGCGUGUGUGAAGAAGGCCUUCGGGUUGUAAAGCACUUUUGUCCGGAAAGAAAACCUCCGUCCUAAUACGGUGGGGGGAUGACGGUACCGGAAGAAUAAGCACCGGCUAACUACGUGCCAGCAGCCGCGGUAAUACGUAGGGUGCAAGCGUUAAUCGGAAUUACUGGGCGUAAAGCGUGCGCAGGCGGUUCGCUAAGACCGAUGUGAAAUCCCCGGGCUUAACCUGGGAACUGCAUUGGUGACUGGCGGGCUAGAGUAUGGCAGAGGGGGGUAGAAUUCCACGUGUAGCAGUGAAAUGCGUACAGAUGUGGAGGAAUACCGAUGGCGAAG